UUUUACAUUUCGUAGCAGGUUAGGAGAAUUUACGCAGCAGAUUAAGAUUAGGAAAAGGGUUAGCUAAAAUGUUAAUAAUAUAUACUUUGGUCGUUCAUUUGACAAAUACUUUAUUCUAUCUAGCAAUUCCUUGCUUGCAGUCUCAUCCACGAGAGUCAUCAUCCGCGGUCCAACAAAGUAGGCCCUACCGUGUAAUUCUCAAGAUUUCCAUCAGAUGGCAGUGCAGGUUUAGCUAUUGGAAAGGACCGCUGCCGCUACCUCGCUCUUCAACCAAGAGAGGGAGAGAGAGAGAGGAUAAUUACAACCGCUUGGCCUAUCAUUUUAAAGCCCUGUGCUGGGCUCCAGAGGGGCGCGCCACCGGGGUGGAGCCGCUGCUGAAGUUCACCUGAUACAACUUUGAUCUUCACCAGCGGGGGUGGAGAUGAUAUUAUUUAAGGUGUCUCAGCAUCUCCAUGGCAUUGCGCUGUGUGAGGACUCCCUCUGCCAUGUUGGUGAAAUGGUGAAUCACAGAGUGCUGAAGCUGUGUAGCUGCUGGCCUAAGAGCCUACUGGACAUAGUGAGGAGAGGAGAGUCUUUGUUAUGGAUGACCACAGACUGUUCUCAUUUAUCACCUAUAUACUGUUAUACUAUAUGUGGCCCUUAAAGCAUCUCAACCAGCUGAAAUAGGCUGACUCAAAGGAAUACAGUAUCUCAAAGCUUAGACUUUCUGUUAUACAGUAGGCUCAUGUAAUAUACUGUAGCUCUGCUGGUCAUUUUCUGUUGUGAUGCCACUUGGUAAAUUAAAAAAAUUUUUUUACCUUUUACCUUUAUGAUAUGCAUUCUUUGCUGUCGCAUUCAUGAAGAAGACGAUGUUGAUGCCAUUUACAUUAAAAAUGUCUGGCAUCAACAUAGAAACUAAAACAAAGCAUAAGAGACAACAUACAUUCUCUCUGGUAAUUACAUGAAUCACAUACUGUAUGUAUUCUGAUUCACUGUAUAUUCAGCUAUGUUUAUGAUUGCGAUUAAUAAAGCAUCUUUCUG